CCAGUUUUGAGAGCUUCUGCUCUCCCUUUUUCAGCCUGCCCUAACUUUGGCAUUUUCAGUGAGAACUGCCCCUGGCCCACCAGGUCACACUAAGCACUGAAGUUAAAUUAAUAGAAUGUUUAUUUUAUGACCAAGUCUUAUGAAAUCAACUAAACUCCUUUGUUUUCUUUCAUCUGAGCAGGGUUUCUGGUUUUCCAACGUGAUGUGAUCUCCCAGCUGGAACAAGGGGAAGAGCCAUGGGUCCCAAACCUCCAGAGUUCAGAGGAAAGAGAGAUCCUGAGAGCUCCCUGCACAGGUGAGGAAACAUUAAACCACCUCAGAAUCUGAGGUGAUGCAAUGGCAUGUGAGAAAGAGGGGCAGAAUUCUCAGCCUGAAAAUGUUGAGCCAGUGGGUAAAAACAGAGCAUUAUCUCAAAGUUCAAAAAGGAAUGUGUCCAGGAGUCAUGAGGAGGGAAAAUCCUGGCAGAUUCAGCACAGACCAGAAACAGAUCAAGGAAACCAGCCAGGGGAGAAAGUAGAUAAAUUUAUUUCCUCUUGGGGAACUCAGAAGGUCCUCAUAGAAACCACAACACAGCAGGAUAUCCUCAGGCAAAAGA